rnacentral:rRNA from 1 species
UUCCGGUUGAUCCUGCCGGAGGUCACUGCUAUUGGGAUUCGACUAAGCCAUGCGAGUCGAGAGGGUUCGGCCCUCGGCAGACGGCUCAGUAACACGUGGAUAAUCUGCCCUUAGGUGGAGGAUAACCUCGGGAAACUGAGAAUAAUACUCCAUAGAUCUAGGAUGCUGGAAUGCACUUAGAUUGAAAGUUCCGGCGCCUAAGGAUGAGUCUGCGGACUAUCAGGUAGUAGUCAGGGUAAAGGCCUGACUAGCCUACGACGGAUACGGGUUGUGAGAGCAAUAACCCGGAGACGAUAUCUGAGACACGAUAUCGGGCCCUACGGGGCGCAGCAGGCGCGAAACCUUCACAAUGUGCGAAAGCACGAUGAGGGAAUCCCAAGUGCUUGCUCGUAAGAGUAAGCUGUUUUUAUGUCUAAAAAGCAUAGAGAGUAAGGGCUGGGUAAGACGGGUGCCAGCCGCCGCGGUAAUACCUGCAGCUCAAGUGGUGACCGCUAUUAUUGGGCCUAAAACGUUCGUAGCCGGUUUGGUAAAUGCCUGGGUAAAUCGUGUAGCUUAACUAUACGAAUUCCGGGUAGACUGCCAAACUUGAGACCGGGAGAAGCUAGAGGUACUCCUGGGGUAGAGGUGAAAUUCUGUAAUCCUGGGGGGACCACCAGUGGCGAAGGCGUCUAGCUAGAACGGGUUUGACGGUGAGGAACGAAGCCCUGGGGCGCAAACCGGAUUAGAUACCCGGGUAGUCCAGGGUGUAAACGCUGCUUGCUUGAUGUUAGUUGGGCUCCGAGCCCAAUUAGUGUCGGAGAGAAGUUGUUAAGCAAGCUGCCUGGGAAGUACGAUCGCAAGAUUGAAACUUAAAGGAAUUGGCGGGGGAGCACAG